rnacentral:tRNA from 1 species
GUUGUGGCUUAGUGGUAGAGCGCUCGCCUAGCACAUGUGAAGCACUGGGUUCAAUCCUCAGCACUACA